CAUAAAUCCAUUGUAAUGGUUUUGUAAAUUUAACCACAGGUAGCCAUUUUGGUUCAACAUAACUGUCAUCAAGUGCAUGAGGCUCAUUACUACAUUAAUGUUCCUUCAAGUAUGGUGGUUUACAGAGUGAAACUAGAAAAUAUCUACAUGAUGCAUGUUGGUAUGACACAGUUGGCAUAUUCAAAUGGUAAAAUGUCCUGCCCUUUCCUGAUGGUUUCACAUACUAGACAGACUGUUGCAUGGUGCUUAUUCAGUAAGGACAAGAGUCCCUAGAGAAUUGAACUGUGACGAUAGAGAACAGUCUCUUUUCUAUUCAUUGCAUUUCUAUCUAUAACACUAAGUGCGUUACAGAUGUGCUCUACUGAAUGAGCCCCAGUUGUCCAAAACCCAGAUUGAAAUGAAACUGCACCUGCUAUUAAGGAUGGGAACAAAAACACAUACAACCAGCAGCUUUGCUGCAUGCUUGGACCCCUAAUAAGAGAUUAGUUGGUCCUAGUUCAAUUUUCCAGUUCAAGUUUAAACAUAGUUCAAAACACAUAAAAACCUUGGAUUAAGGAGUUGUUUUCCAGACAGAUAACACUCAUACACCAAUGGUUGUUAUAGUCCUUUUCCCCUCUCUUCGGGUUGGCUCAUUCUUGAUAACCACAGAACUUUCGGAGAUGGCUCUCGUAGGAGUAGGUCUACAUGCAAGCUUGAGCGUUAGCUGCAGGCACCGUCUUCUCAUCUAACAUCUACUCAAUGAGACUUUCUAAAGUGCUUGUCAAUGAAGAUUAUGUAAUUAUCCUAUUUGUUUGACUUCAGAUCGACCGCAUCAACUUUGCAGAUGUUUUUUAUGAAUUCGUUCUACUAAGCCUUCUAGAAGGAAAGACAUCUCUUCCUAUAUCUGAGCCUGGUAGCUUCCUUUAUCUGCUCCUGCAAGUCAUAAUGAGGAUUGACCCUCCUGGAGGAGCCUGGACAGAGGCUGCUGAGAACUUCUACCUCCUCGUUAAGGGCCAGAUGAAGGCAUGGCUACAAUCCAUCUUCAACCUCAAUGAGUCAAUCUAUGAAAGCCCAGAGAGGCUCUCGGGGGAGGUGAUGCGGAAUCUAGAAAUACAGGUUGAGUUCCUGCUGUCCAGCCUGGAUUAAGGUUCCCAAACUGAGCUGAGGGCCCCAUCA